UUUGAAUCACAGGUUCUCGUACGAUCACCGAUGUUAAGCAACGUCGAGCCAGGUCAGUACCUAGAUGGGUGACCGUUUGGAUAUACCACGUGCUGUAAG